GGUUCCGGCCAUAUCAGCCUGAAGGCGCCUGAUCUCGUCUGAUCGCCGAAGCUAAGCAGGGUCGGGCCUGCUUAAAAAAAAAAAAAAGAUUCUCACUCUUAGCCUCUGCUCCAGCUA
rnacentral:rRNA from 1 species